GGGCUUGUAGUUCAGUUGAUUAGAACGUCUGUUUUGCAUACAGAAGGUCCCCCGUUUGAUCCGGGGCAGGUCCA
rnacentral:tRNA from 1 species